AGUUGAGCGCUGAGGUUGGUACUUGUACCAACUGGAUGAGCAGCGAACGGGUGAGUAACGCGUGGGGAAUCUGCCUUUGAGCGGGGGACAACAUUUGGAAACGAAUGCUAAUACCGCAUAAAAACUUUAAACACAAGUUUUAAGUUUGAAAGAUGCAAUUGCAUCACUCAAAGAUGAUCCCGCGUUGUAUUAGCUAGUUGGUGAGGUAAAGGCUCACCAAGGCGAUGAUACAUAGCCGACCUGAGAGGGUGAUCGGCCACAUUGGGACUGAGACACGGCCCAAACUCCUACGGGAGGCAGCAGUAGGGAAUCUUCGGCAAUGGACGAAAGUCUGACCGAGCAACGCCGCGUGAGUGAAGAAGGUUUUCGGAUCGUAAAACUCUGUUGGUAGAGAAGAACGUUGGUGAGAGUGGAAAGCUCAUCAAGUGACGGUAACUACCCAGAAAGGGACGGCUAACUACGUGCCAGCAGCCGCGGUAAUACGUAGGUCCCGAGCGUUGUCCGGAUUUAUUGGGCGUAAAGCGAGCGCAGGUGGUUUAUUAAGUCUGGUGUAAAAGGCAGUGGCUCAACCAUUGUAUGCAUUGGAAACUGGUAGACUUGAGUGCAGGAGAGGAGAGUGGAAUUCCAUGUGUAGCGGUGAAAUGCGUAGAUAUAUGGAGGAACACCGGUGGCGAAAGCGGCUCUCUGGCCUGUAACUGACACUGAGGCUCGAAAGCGUGGGGAGCAAACAGGAUUAGAUACCUGGUAGUCCACGCCGUAAACGAUGAGUGCUAGAUGUAGGGAGCUAUAAGUUCUCUGUAUCGCAGCUAACGCAAUAAGCACUCCGCCUGGGGAGUACGACCGCAAGGUUGAAACUCAAAGGAAUUGACGGGGGCCCGCACAAGCGGUGGAGCAUGUGGUUUAAUUCGAAGCAACGCGAAGAACCUUACCAGGUCUUGACAUACUCGUGCUAUUCCUAGAGAUAGGAAGUUCCUUCGGGACACGGGAUACAGGUGGUGCAUGGUUGUCGUCAGCUCGUGUCGUGAGAUGUUGGGUUAAGUCCCGCAACGAGCGCAACCCCUAUUGUUAGUUGCCAUCAUUAAGUUGGGCACUCUAACGAGACUGCCGGUGAUAAACCGGAGGAAGGUGGGGAUGACGUCAAAUCAUCAUGCCCCUUAUGACCUGGGCUACACACGUGCUACAAUGGAUGGUACAACGAGUCGCGAGACAGUGAUGUUUAGCUAAUCUCUUAAAACCAUUCUCAGUUCGGAUUGUAGGCUGCAACUCGCCUACAUGAAGUCGGAAUCGCUAGUAAUCGCGGAUCAGCACGCCGCGGUGAAUACGUUCCCGGGCCUUGUACACACCGCCCGUCACACCACGGGAGUUGGGAGUACCCGAAGUAGGUUGCCUAACCGCAAGGAGGGCGCU
rnacentral:rRNA from 1 species